AGUACACAAGUAUUCAAACAAGGACUCCCCUCCGGAUUAGAGUGAACUAUUCUGACUCAAGACUCACCAAUUUUACCUUUCACCACGGGGCUUAUAGCUAUCACUUUGGUCUUGGGCAGUUGAAAGACAUAACAGUUAAAUCGAGCACUAUGCUACCCGCUCUUUGAUCAACUAUUAUUCUAGAGUUUUGCAAGAUUUUCAAAUAAAACUUAGAGUUUCCUUGUAUGAUACUUUCCAGUCCCUCAUAUGUGGUAUUUGUGGAUCCUCUCCAUGGCAAGUGAGUAUGCCUUCUCUCUGCUCUUCGAAUAUGUGAUAUUUGUAUCACUAAGACAUAAUUGCCUUCUCUCUCUCACCCUACUUCUAAUUGGCUUAUGUGGAGCUUAUAGGUGGGAAAGAUAAUUCAAACCUACUUGCAUGUAUUGCAUAGUUAAACCAUGGAUCCAGAGAAACUAAUUAAAAAAUCAAUUCAUAUGUGCAUGUGAGUGAAGUGAAAUGAAGUGAUAAGAAUGAAAGGGGUUAUGAGGGGUGAUAACUGAUGGUAAAUAUCUAAUUCUACAUUUGCUCCUUGGGGAUAACAUACCUCCCUAAUCUGAGAACAAGGAUUUGGCUGUCUCUCUUUUCUUUUGCAUUGGGACUUUUGUCCUCUUUUUUUCUUUUUUUCUCUUUUUCUCUCUAUUUUUUAGAGAUCAGCCAUCCCUUUUAAUUCAAUGACAACAGUAGGGAGUAUCAACUGGGAUAACUGAGGCUUUAUUGGAUAAGUAUAAUAAGACAUUGAAUAUUUUUGGGUGUCUUCUCCCAGUGUAGGAGUAGAACAUUUUCUGAGUGGACGUGGAAUGUGUGUGGGUGAAUGAAGGAAUGCGUACUCCUUAGGUAGGAGCAACAUAGGCGCAUGUCUCUAGGAUAGAAACAUCACAGAGUGUAGUGCGUAUAUGUGGGUGGUACUUCCAGGAACAAAAGUAGCACAUAGUGAAUGUGGUUGUUGACGGUAUUUUGACUAUGAUUUUCGAGCACUAAAACCGUCAACAAUGGUUAAGGUUUGGGGAUAACACCAAGCAACUAAGUAGUGACAUAGGUACAAUUCACUUGGUUCCACAUGUACAUGUCAUUAUUUGGAUGCAGGUGCAAACAGCCACUAAUCAAGCCUCAUCAAGCUCAAAUGAAGCAAAGAUGAUCAAGAACCAAAACCACCACAUAUCAACAAAAGGUUGAAGAUGACAAGUGGGGACAACAUGUGGAGCAAGGUGAUGGGCCAAACCCCCAAGGGUAGG
rnacentral:lncRNA from 1 species